rnacentral:rRNA from 1 species
UACGUAGGGGGCAAGCGUUGUCCGGAAUCAUUGGGCGUAAAGAGCGUGUAGGCGGCCAGAAAAGUCCGCUGUGAAAACUCGAGGCUCAACUUCGAGCUGUCGGUGGAAACUUUCUGGCUAGAGUCCGGAAGAGGAGAAUGGAAUUCCUGGUGUAGCGGUGGAAUGCGCAGAUAUCAGGAGGAACACCGGUGGCGAAGGCGGGAUCCUGGGCCAGUACUGACGCUGAGGAGCGAAAGCGUGGGGAGCAAACAGG